ACCUAAAAACAUUGCGCAAUGAGCAGUUAAAUUCCGACAGUUCUGUUUAUGCUCUUAUUGUAUAUUUGUAACUCAACUGAUGAUUGAAAUGAAAAUGCCACUGGUGAUUAAAUGUAUUCAGUUCUGAAAACAAUGCCUUGCUCAGGAUUUCUUAAUCCUUUGGAUAUAAGUAUGCAUGGAAGGGGAGCCCUUUCCUUGAGCAUUUUAAGGUGAUUUUGAAAAUAAUAUUCUCCAUUCUUUUAACCAACACAAAGACAGCAUAUACCGUGCUUUUUCUCUUUAAAAGUAAUUUAUUUUAAUCAUUUUUUUAAUAGAAAUUGUCACAGAAAAUUAGCUUCCACAGAGGGUCGUGGCCAUAAUAUAUUUAUUUACUUAUACAUAUUUUUUUGUCUUUUUGCCUUUUUUAGGGCCAUUUCCUGCGGCAUAUGGAGGUUCCCAGGCUAAGGGUCUAAUUGGAGCUGUAGCCACUGGCCUACGCCAGAGCCACAGCAACACGGGAUCCGAGCCGCGUCUGCAGCCUACACCACAGCUCACAGCAAUACCGGAUCCAUAAGCCACUGAGCAAGGCCAGGGAUGGAACCUGCAACCUCAUGGUUCCUAGUCGGAUUCGUUAACCACUGCGCCACGACGGGAACUCCCAUAAUAUAUUUCUUAUAGAUAUAUUCGGAAAGAGCAUAAUGGUGAUAAAAAUAAUGUACAUAGUUUCCUUUUAAUAUAGACAACUCUACAAUGUCUGAUUUCUACAAAAUGUUAAAGGAAAUCAUAAAAAAGGAAAAUGUAAACCACAAGUUUCCAUUUGUUCUUUUAUACUCUUAAAACAUACUUUUUUUCUAGUAAAUUACCAAUAGGAAGGACCAAAUUAAAAUAAAUAUUUUUCCGUAGUGAUGAUGAUCGCUGAUAAUACAUGGUGAGUUCUGUCCUAAUUCAUUUGAUAUUCUCAGUUCUCCACGUUUUAAAACAUGAAAUGAUGAAUAGGUUAACUUGAGUAAGGUGGCACAGCUUGUAGUUUGUUAGAGCCAUGAUCUGAAGUCAGCUGAUAUGACUUUAUUGGCCCUGCUGAAAUCUUUCUUAAUAUUUAUGUAUAGAUCGAUUUUCAAAUAAUAAUGUAAACCAGUAUCACAUGAUGACACUGUACAUGUACUUCUUUAAACACCUUUGUUUUGAAGUAAAGUAAGAUAUUUUAAGCUUUCAUCUUAUUUGUUAAUACUUCUUAAUGAAGCUUCUCCUAUCUGAAAUCUCUUAUGGGAUAUUCUAAUGCAAUAUCAUAUAUGGAAACCAAUUAAAAAUUAAUUCUGUAAAAAAAUACCCCUAAGUAUUAUAUUUUCUCAUACCUAGAAGUGCUACAUGGUGUAAAAGAAAAUGAAUGCAUUCACAUUUCACUUAGACCAAACUUCCUGUUUAAAUGUAUGAUCUGCCUUAGUAGUACAAACAAAGAGUUCUCUGUUUUGGGGCACUAUCUGCUGAUAAUGGUUGCUUAUCCAUGUCACACUAACUUUCCUAACUCAUUUCCUCUAUUGUUUUUCAUAGUCUGUUAUAUCUAAACCCCUUUCUUGAGCUGACCUGCUUCACAUUCACACCCUAAAUCCUACUGGAUCACAGCAGGAGCCUGCAAUUCCAGCUAGUUUCCUUGUCUUCAUAUUCUCCUCACUUCUAAUGAUCAGGCCUUUCUCCAUAUUUUUUAUUUAUGUUCUUCCCCCAGCCAUGUGGUUAUUGUUCUUUCUUCUUUUUCCUCUUCAAAAUCCUAUACAUCCUUUUUUCAAAAAAAGUUGGCCAGCUUAACUGAAAUCACACUCAACUCUUAUUCCUCUCAAAUCCUAUUGUAUUUUUAUUAGAAGAUCCAGUUCUUGAAUGUAAACUAUAUUAGAUUAUUUAUGAAUUUUUGGUUCAAAAUACUUACCUACCUAAUAGAUGAUACAUUUACUAAAUUAGAGGUAAUAAAUUUGCCAGAUUUUAUACAGAAUCUUCUCACCUACAGACUUUCAGUUAAUGCACUUUAUUGACAAGUAGAAAUGCAUGAGUCAAGGAAGCAUACUCCAACUUUGCUGACCACCUGCAGAUGGUUUUAUACAUUGUGAAAAGUCCUUUUAGUUUUGUCCACCUGCAUCAACAUUCUCUAAAAUAUUAGGGAUAACGUCUUAUUUUAAGCUUACUUGUGACAGACACAAGAAAGUUAAAAUACAUUUUUUGCAGAGUUAAAAAGCAGCAGUAAUUGUGUAUGUAUUGGUACUUUUCAAGUAUUACAUUGGACUUAUGAGCAGAUGAAUUUAGAAUCACGUUUGUAGGAUCUAACCUGUUUCUAACACUAAUCUGUGUCCCGCAAGUGGAGACCCAAAAAUAGUCAGUCCCUGGCUGCUUGUUUUCCUUUGUGGCAAAGCUUCUUGACAAUAUAAGCUAAUGCUUCUUUAUAAACAAAUAUUUUCCCCAUGAAACUGGUUAAAUUCAAAAAAAUUAAAAAAAAUGCUGUGCAUUUCUGAUGUAGGCACAUAAGUUCCAAUAGUGUAUAUAUAUUAUACUGAACAAAUAUAGCUAUAUAACAUCACUACUGUAUUUUAUCUGAAUUACAGUGAGAGACAUGGUGGGUAUCACUUUCUACUUCUCUGUCAGUUUGUUUUUCUGGUUGUCUUCAUUCCUCUUACUCACCAAAAGUGUGUCCUUAUUAUGGGUGCUGCCAAGGAAGACUGGUUUGCCUCAGAGCAUGAUCCAAAUCAUGGCCCAGGAAACUAUAUUCAGUGUUAAGAUUUCUUCACUCUACACUUUCACCUUUUUAUAUUGAAAGAAAAUAACCCUAUUGUAUUGCAUCUUUUAGGUGGUCAGUAUUAGGAAUAUUAUUUGUGUUUGGUCAUUCUUUAAAAAUAAGUGUAGCUGUACCUGAUGUCGACAGAUAUGCAGAGAGUGUUAUUUAGGGCUGAAUUCCCCUGGGAGCAAAUACGUCUCAGAUGUUUGGGGGAAAUGAGGCUGAGUGAAAAUGUUGUGUAUCUCACAUGCAUGUGGCCCUUUCCCUUGAAGGGCCUUCUUCACUCCCUUAGGACUCUUACAUUCUUUAAUGGAAUUUAGGGACAUUCCCCAGAUAAACUCACAGCUGAAUUAUUUCUCCAGAUCUAUGACACUUCAUUCAUUCAUUAAGUAAGCACAGGCAUAAAUAUGUCAGUACAAAUU
rnacentral:lncRNA from 1 species